GCCGCGGUAUCCUAACCGUGCGAAGGUAGCGUAAUCACUUGUUCUUUAAAUAAGGACUAGUAUGAACGGCACCACGAGGGUUAUACUGUCUCCUUUUUCCAAUCAAUGAAACUGAUUUUCCCGUGAAGAAGCGGGGAUACUUCUAUAAGACGAGAAGACCCUAUGGAGCUUCAAACCAAAUAGCAUCGGCUAUACCUUAAUAUUUUAAUCAAUAACUUUUAUUAUCGCCCUCUGACUAUUAGUUUUAGGUUGGGGUGACCGCGGAACAAAAAUUAACCUCCAUGGUGAAAACUUUUUCCUGAGCCAAGAGCCACAGCUCUAAGCACCAAAACAUUGACACAAAUUGACCCAAUAAAUUGAGCAACGAACCAAGUUACCCUAGGGAUAACAGCGCAAUCCACUUCAAGAGCUCCUAUCGACAAGUGGGUUUACGACCUCGAUGUUGGAUCAGGGUAUCCUAGUGGUGCAGCCGCUGCUAAUGGUUCGUUUGUUCAACGAUUAAAACCCUACGUGAUCUA
rnacentral:rRNA from 1 species